rnacentral:rRNA from 1 species
AGUGGCGAACGGGUGAGUAACGCGUAGACAACCAACCUUUUUGUGGGGGACAACACUUCGAAAGGAGUGCUAAUACCGCAUACGCUCCAGAUGCCGCCUGGCAUUUGGAGGAAAGGAGCUGUAAGGCUUCGCAAAAAGACGGGUCUGCGUCUGAUUAGCUAGUUGGAGGGGUAACGGCCCACCAAGGCGACGAUCAGUAGCCGGUCUGAGAGGAUGGACGGCCACACUGGGACUGAGACACGGCCCAGACUCCUACGGGAGGCAGCAGUGGGGAAUCUUCCGCAAUGGACGAAAGUCUGACGGAGCGACGCCGCGUGAGUGAUGAAGGCCCUUGGGUCGUAAAGCUCUGUCAUCAGGGACGAACGGUCACGUCAGGAAAUGGGCGUGAAUUGACGGUACCUGAGAAGGAAGCCACGGCUAACUACGUGCCAGCAGCCGCGGUAAUACGUAGGUGGCGAGCGUUGUCCGGAAUUAUUGGGCGUAAAGCGCGCGCAGGUGGGAUCUUAAGUCUGUUCUGAAAGUUCGGAGCUUAACUCCGUGAUGGGAUGGAAACUGGGAUUCUUGAGUAUCGGAGAGGAAAGCGGAAUUCCCCGUGUAGCGGUGAAAUGCGUAGAUAUGGGGAGGAACACCAGUGGCGAAGGCGGCUUUCUGGACGAUGUCUGACACUGAGGCGCGAAAGCCAGGGGAGCGAACGGGAUUAGAUACCCCGGUAGUCCUGGCC